AUCGGACUCAAGCUCCUCGUCAGAUGACAGCGAUGAUGAUGAAAUGAAUACCGCCAUUCAAGAAAAGCUUGUUCUCGCCGCUUCCAAGAAGCACCAAGGCAAAGAAGUUACACCGCCCCAGAAAAAAAAAAGUCCA
rnacentral:sRNA from 1 species